rnacentral:rRNA from 1 species
CCGCCCGUCACACCAUGGGAGUUGAUUGCUCCAGAAGUGCCUGAGCUAACCGCAAGGAAGCAGGGUCCCAAGGAGUGGUCGAUGACUGGGGUGUA